rnacentral:rRNA from 1 species
AGAGUUUGAUCCUGGCUCAGGACGAACGCUGGCGGCGUGCUUAACACAUGCAAGUCAGGGGGCCCGCAAGGGUCACCGGCGAACGGGUGCGUAACACGUGAACAACCUGCCCGAGCGAGGGGGAUAGCCGGCCCAACGGCCGGGUAAUACCGCAUAUGCUCACAGCGUCAUAAGGCGCAGUGAGGAAACCUUCGGGGCGCUCGGAGGGGUUCGCGACCUAUCAGCUAGUUGGUGAGGUAACGGCUCACCAAGGCGACGACGGGUAGCUGGUCUGAGAGGAUGGCCAGCCACAUUGGGACUGCGACACGGCCCAGACUCCUACGGGAGGCAGCAGUGGGGAAUAUUGCGCAAUGGUCGAAAGACUGACGCAGCGACGCCGCGUGGAGGAUGACGCCCUUCGGGGUGUAAACUCCUGUUGCUCGGGACGAACCGUGGAAUUCAUUCCACCUGACGGUACCGAGUGAGGAAGCACCGGCUAACUCUGUGCCAGCAGCCGCGGUAAUACAGAGGGUGCGAGCGUUGUCCGGAAUCACUGGGCGUAAAGGGCGCGUAGGCGGUUUGACAAGCGUGCGGUGAAAGCUCGGGGCUCAACCCCGAGUCGGCCGUGCGAACUGUCGGACUUGAGCACAGUAGAGGCAGAUGGAAUUCCUGGUGUAGCGGUGAAAUGCGUAGAUAUCAGGAGGAACACCGGUGGCGAAGGCGGUCAUCUGGCUCGUAACUGACGCUGAGGCUCGAAAGUGCGGGGAUCAAACAGGAUUAGAUACCCUGGUAGUCC